rnacentral:rRNA from 1 species
AUUGAACGCUGGCGGCAGGCCUAACACAUGCAAGUCGAGCGGAUGAAGGGAGCUUGCUCCUGGAUUCAGCGGCGGACGGGUGAGUAAUGCCUAGGAAUCUGCCUGGUAGUGGGGGAUAACGUCCGGAAACGGGCGCUAAUACCGCAUACGUCCUGAGGGAGAAAGUGGGGGUUCUCGGGACCCACGCUUUCCGGUUGACCCUAGGUCGGAUUAGCUAGUUGGUGGGGUAAAGGCCUACCAAGGCGACGAUCCGUAACUGGUCUGAGAGGAUGAUCAGUCACACUGGAACUGAGACACGGUCCAGACUCCUACGGGAGGCAGCAGUGGGGAAUAUUGGACAAUGGGCGAAAGCCUGAUCCAGCCAUGCCGCGUGUGUGAAGAAGGUCUUCGGAUUGUAAAGCACUUUAAGUUGGGAGGAAGGGCAGUAAGUUAAUACCUUGCUGUUUUGACGUUACCAACAGAAUAAGCACCGGCUAACUUCGUG